rnacentral:piRNA from 1 species
UCCUGUGUGUCUGGGAGAGCCAACUUGG